UGGAGAGAAGCUUAAGUGGUUAUAUAGCCCCUGUCUGUUAAACAGGUGAUAGUAGGUUCAAGUCCUAUCUCUCCAG
rnacentral:tRNA from 1 species